CUCGACUACAUGAAGCUGGAAUCGCUAGUAAUCGCGGAUCAGCAUGCCGCGGUGAAUACGUUCCCGGGCCUUGUACACACCGCCCGUCACACCAUGAGAGCCGGUAACACCCGAAGUCAGAAGCCUAACCGCAAGGAGGGCGCUGCCGAAGGUGGGAUUGAUGACUGGGGUGAAGUCGUAACAAGGUACC
rnacentral:rRNA from 1 species